rnacentral:lncRNA from 1 species
UAGCUUUGAAACAACCUCUUGUGUUGUUGUGCAUAAUUGAGUAGUAGAUAACUAAAGAUAACAAUAAAAAGUAAACAAGCAUGCCAAAACAAAACCCAUGUGUUUCGGAGCUCUAAUCAUGUUAUACUAAAGGGCUAAUGUUUACAUUCUGUUUUGCUGCAUUUUUAGGUUGAUGCUAUGCUUCAGAAAUUAGAGAAAGAAAUUUUUAGGUUGAUGCGGCAAGGCCCCUCUGAUCGUUUGAAGUGGAGAAGAACGUGGCCAUCCGAUCCUCUUCAGAUGCAAAUGCAGUCUAUCAUCAGAAGGUACCACUGUUGACGCUUGGGAAGGUUCAAGUUCUGUCUUGAGUGUGUCGAACUGAAGAAAUAGAGGAUUGGAAACUGUCAGUAAAUCCUGCCUACUAUUGUCUGAAAACGAUUUCAUCUUGCUCCUAAAUUCAAAUCAUAGUAGCAAAUAGCAUAAUUAGGCAAGGCGCGCAAGUGCAACUGUACUGAAUUAGGCAGAAGUGUGAUAUGAGUGGACUAGGCAAGAAUAACUGCAAAUCAUUCAGAAAAUUACAAAAGAAAAGUGGAAGAAUUCUACUGCAAGUGACGUAAAUCAAAAGGAUGGAAUGGAUCCAACAGAAUUGAAAGCAUGCAUCUACCUGGGAGAACAAAAUUUAGAUCACCGUACUUCCUCAACACACAAUCCCUCAGUCUUCUUUCUGAGGUACCACCUGCAUACAAAAAGAAACAGAAGCAUUUCCACUCAGCUGAUGGAACCAACAUAUAAUUUCAUGAAAACACUAGUCCAAAUCAGUAGUACCUAUCAAGAGUAAAAAAAAGCCUAACUGGACUAGACUUGACUUGAGAGAAACUAAGAGCAGGCAAAAAUAUCAGUUACUAUACUACCACUUAGCAAUUGAGAGACCAAACUUGCCGAGAAUCAGCUAAAACACGAAGCAGUUUUUCCAGUUGGUAUGGUGAUGUGCUGCUGCACCAGCCAAGGCGCCAACCACAAGUAGGUAAGCAGGAACAGGGAGCUCAACAAGCAAGAAAAUAAGCCACAACCAGACCAAGAAUCCACACAGAAACACUAAAAGUCACAGUAGCACUAUCAUCAUUAUUUUCUGAUGGGCGCCACAGCCUGCAUGUAUUUGGCUAUCUGCACAUGAUAAACCAUCUAAACUACAUCAAGAUUCAUGUUGUUGAUGUUGUUUGUUUUGUUGCACUGUAAUCGCAACUAACACUGGAGUAUUUGAAUUAAUUAUUUGAUUUUGGUUGGUAGCAUAAUCUCGAAUAUAGUAGUUAAAGUCCACAAACAUGUUCUGAUACACAACAAACUUCUAAAAGGAAAAUAAACCUUUUUUAAGCGUGAAAAGAAACAAUUAAAGUUAAAGAGAACUAGGAGAAACGCGGUGAGAUGUUUGCAUAUGACAUAUUUCACAAAAGUUAUGCAGAUUCAAAGACUAAUCUCCCAUACUAGAUCCACCAAAUUCACUUUUUACUUUUGAGUAGGAAGAAAUAAAACUGUGUCGUGCCUAGUUUUGCCUAACGCAACAUCAACCAUUCGAUUCAGAGCCAAAAUAACAACUAGGUCCUUGGCAUUUAUCCUAGAUUUCCAAAUAAUACCUCACUAGUUCCAUUCUAAAUGCUUGAUGACAAACAAACAUGCAUAUCAUUGUCAAAUCAAGGCAGACGAGAUUAAUCCAGGUUAAUAAUAGAUGACCAUGUUACAAGCCAAUAAGAGCCAGAAGCACCCUACUAUUGACCAACCUGUAGUUAACUGGCGAGGAGCAGCACAACCUCAAUCACUGCUAUCUCCAGCCCGAGCUCCAACAUCUGCAGCUAUGGGCUCUUGAGCUCGCAGCGCCUCCACGCCUUGUUCCACCAUCUCCUCAGCACUUUCCUGAGUGUCUGCCCAAUUUAUCAAAAUUAUGCAUAUUCAGAUCAUAGAUAUUCAGGAACUUGUGAGUGAAUAGGAACAUGACAUAGGCAUUACUAUCGGAGAAGACUCGGUAAACUGCUUAUACGAGAAAUGGGCAGAAAAAAACAGAAUGGCCAAUAUGAAAUGAACGGUAGCUUCGUGUUAUAGGACUUCGGAUAUUACCUAGUGUCAAAAAGGCAAAAAGCAUCUUAUAUUUUGAUACUGAGGGAGUACUAGUUUUCUUAGCUAGUUUAAUGGAUUUCUAACUUGAGAAAUGCAUGGGUCUCAGUAGGGCCGAUCAACAAACUAAACUAUAUUGUGUCACCUACAAAAGACGAUUGUUGGAACUAUCUAAAAAGCAUCGUAGCCCUGCCUCUAAUUCUAUCUUCAGAAGAUGAUUCCAAAUCAAAAUAGUUUCUGAGCACAAGCUAUUCUUACUACUUAAAUGGCAACUCCAUUGCGCAAUUAGAGGAGGAAAGGGAGAAGUCGCCGGCGAGGGCAACCAACGGCCGAGUUGGUUGAGCCUGAACACCAUCUCGUCCCUGAGAAUCUCCCUGUACAGGAUAUCAAGUACUCCUUCCACUUCCUCCCCUAACCAAAAUAUGGAAGGA